rnacentral:piRNA from 3 species
UGUAAGCAGGCGAGUCAGGAUCUUU